GUCGAGCGAACAGAGAAGGAGCUUGCUCCUUUGACGUUAGCGGCGGACGGGUGAGUAACACGUGGGCAACCUACCUUAUAGUUUGGGAUAACUCCGGGAAACCGGGGCUAAUACCGAAUAAUCUGUUUCACCUCAUGGUGAAAUAUUGAAAGACGGUUUCGGCUGUCGCUAUAGGAUGGGCCCGCGGCGCAUUAGCUAGUUGGUGAGGUAACGGCUCACCAAGGCGACGAUGCGUAGCCGACCUGAGAGGGUGAUCGGCCACACUGGGACUGAAACACGGCCCAGACUCCUACGGGAGGCAGCAGUAGGGAAUCUUCCACAAUGGGCGAAAGCCUGAUGGAGCAACGCCGCGUGAGUGAAGAAGGAUUUCGGUUCGUAAAACUCUGUUGUAAGGGAAGAACAAGUACAGUAGUAACUGGCUGUACCUUGACGGUACCUUAUUAAAAAGCCACGGCUAACUACGUGCCAGCAGCCGCGGUAAUACGUAGGUGGCAAGCGUUGUCCGGAAUUAUUGGGCGUAAAGCGCGCGCAGGUGGUUUCUUAAGUCUGAUGUGAAAGCCCACGGCUCAACCGUGGAGGGUCAUUGGAAACUGGGAGACUUGAGUGCAGAAGAGGAUAGUGGAAUUCCAAGUGUAGCGGUGAAAUGCGUAGAGAUUUGGAGGAACACCAGUGGCGAAGGCGACUAUCUGGUCUGUAACUGACACUGAGGCGCGAAAGCGUGGGGAGCAAACAGGAUUAGAUACCCUGGUAGUCCACGCCGUAAACGAUGAGUGCUAAGUGUUAGGGGGUUUCCGCCCCUUAGUGCUGCAGCUAACGCAUUAAGCACUCCGCCUGGGGAGUACGGUCGCAAGACUGAAACUCAAAGGAAUUGACGGGGGCCCGCACAAGCGG
rnacentral:rRNA from 1 species